UGGGGAAUUUUGGACAAUGGGCGAAAGCCUGAUCCAGCAAUGCCGCGUGUGUGAAGAAGGCCUUCGGGUUGUAAAGCACUUUUGUCCGGAAAGAAAUCCUCCGGGUUAAUACCUCGGGGGGAUGACGGUACCGGAAGAAUAAGCACCGGCUAACUACGUGCCAGCAGCCGCGGUAAUACGUAGGGUGCAAGCGUUAAUCGGAAUUACUGGGCGUAAAGCGUGCGCAGGCGGUUUUGUAAGACGGAUGUGAAAUCCCCGGGCUUAACCUGGGAACUGCAUUCGUGACUGCAAGGCUAGAGUAUGGCAGAGGGGGGUAGAAUUCCACGUGUGANCAGUGAAAUGCGUAGAGAUGUGGAGGAAUACCGAUGGCGAAGGCAGCCCCCUGGGCCAAUACUGACGCUCAUGCACGAAAGCGUGGGGAGCAAACAGGAUUAGAUACCCUGGUAGUCCACGCCCUAAACGAUGUCAACUAGUUGUUGGGGGAUUCAUUUCCUUAGUAACGUAGCUAACGCGUGAAGUUGACCGCCUGGGGAGUACGGUCGCAAGAUUAAAACUCAAAGGAAUUGACGGGGUCAUAGCUG
rnacentral:rRNA from 1 species